CAUGCGUGCGCGCGCGCGUGUGUGUGUGUGUGUGUGUGUGUGUGU
rnacentral:miRNA from 1 species